ACUCCUACGGGAGGCAGCAGUAGGGAAGUCUUCCACAAUAGGGCGGCAAGCCUGAUGGAGCAACACCGCGUGAGUGAAGAAGGGUUUCGGCUCGUAAAGCUCUGUUGUUAAAGAAGAACACGUAUGAGAGUAACUGUUCAUACGUUGACGGUAUUUAACCAGAAAGUCACGGCUAACUACGUGCCAGCAGCCGCGGUAAUACGUAGGUGGCAAGCGUUAUCCGGAUUUAUUGGGCGUAAAGAGAGUGCAGGCGGUUUUCUAAGUCUGAUGUGAAAGCCUUCGGCUUAACCGGAGAAGUGCAUCGGAAACUGGAUAACUUGAGUGCAGAAGAGGGUAGUGGAACUCCAUGUGUAGCGGUGGAAUGCGUAGAUAUAUGGAAGAACACCAGUGGCGAAGGCGGCUACCUGGUCUGCAACUGACGCUGAGACUCGAAAGCAUGGGUAGCGAACAGGAUUAGAUACCCUGGUAGGAUAGCG
rnacentral:rRNA from 1 species